GAGACAGGUGCUGCAUGGCUGUCGUCAGCUCGUGUUGUGAAAUGUUGGGUUAAGUCCCGCAACGAGCGCAACCCUUAUCCUUUGUUGCCAGCGGUCCGGCCGGGAACUCAAAGGAGACUGCCAGUGAUAAACUGGAGGAAGGUGGGGAUGACGUCAAGUCAUCAUGGCCCUUACGACCAGGGCUACACACGUGCUACAAUGGCGCAUACAAAGAGAAGCGACCUCGCGAGAGCAAGCGGACCUCAUAAAGUGCGUCGUAGUCCGGAUUGGAGUCUGCAACUCGACUCCAUGAAGUCGGAAUCGCUAGUAAUCGUGGAUCAGAAUGCCACGGUGAAUACGUUCCCGGGCCUUGUACACACCGCCCGUCACACCAUGGGAGUGGGUUGCAAAAGAAGUAGGUAGCUUAACCUUCGGGAGGGCGCUUACCACUUUGUGAUUCAUGACUGGGGUGAAGUCGUAACAAGGUAACCGUAGGGGAACCUGCGGUUGGAUCACCUCCUUACCUUAAAGAAGC
rnacentral:rRNA from 1 species